rnacentral:rRNA from 1 species
AUUGAACGCUGGCGGCAGGCCUAACACAUGCAAGUCGAGCGGAUGAAGGGAGCUUGCUCCUGGAUUCAGCGGCGGACGGGUGAGUAAUGCCUAGGAAUCUGCCUGGUAGUGGGGGAUAACGUCGGGAAACGGGCGCUAAUACCGCAUACGUCCUGAGGGAGAAAGUGGGGGAUCUUCGGACCUCACGCUAUCAGAUGAGCCUAGGUCGGAUUAGCUAGUUGGUGGGGUAAAGGCCUACCAAGGCGACGAUCCGUAACUGGUCUGAGAGGAUGAUCAGUCACACUGGGACUGAGACACGGCCCAGACUCCUACGGGAGGCAGCAGUGGGGAAUAUUGGACGAUGGGCGAAAGCCUGAUCCAGCCAUGCCGGGUGUGUGAAGAAGGUCUUCGGAUUGUAAAGCACUUUAAGUUGGGAGGAAGGGCAGUAAGUUAAUACCUUGCUGUUUUGACGUUACCAACAGAAUAAGCACCGGCUAACUUCGUG